rnacentral:rRNA from 2 species
UACGUAGGGGGCAAGCGUUGUCCGGAAUUAUUGGGCGUAAAGCGCGUGUAGGCGGCUCGGUAAGUCUGCUGUGAAAGUCCAGGGCUCAACCCUGGAAUGCCGGUGGAUACUGUCGAGCUAGAGUCCGGAAGAGGCGAGUGGAAUUCCUGGUGUAGCGGUGAAAUGCGCAGAUAUCAGGAGGAACACCAAUGGCGAAGGCAGCUCGCUGGGACGGUACUGACGCUGAGACGCGAAAGCGUGGGGAGCAAACAGG